GACGAACGCUGGCGGCGUGCUUAACACAUGCAAGUCGAACGGAAAGGCCCUGCUUUUGUGGGGUGCUCGAGUGGCGUACGGGUGAGUAACACGUGAGUAGCCUGCCCUUGACUUUGGGAUAACUUCAGGAAACUGGGGCUAAUACCGGAUAGGAGCUCCUGCUGCAUGGUGGGGGUUGGAAAGUUUCGGCGGUUGGGGAUGGACUCGCGGCUUAUCAGCUUGUUGGUGGGGUAGUGGCUUACCAAGGCUUUGACGGGUAGCCGGCCUGAGAGGGUGACCGGCCACAUUGGGACUGAGAUACGGCCCAGACUCCUACGGGAGGCAGCAGUGGGGAAUAUUGCACAAUGGGCGGAAGCCUGAUGCAGCAACGCCGCGUGCGGGAUGACGGCCUUCGGGUUGUAAACCGCUUUCGCCUGUGACGAAGCGUGAGUGACGGUAAUGGGUAAAGAAGCACCGGCUAACUACGUG
rnacentral:rRNA from 1 species